UACGAAGGGGGCUAGCGUUGCUCGGAAUUACUGGGCGUAAAGGGCGCGUAGGCGGACAGUUUAGUCGGGGGUGAAAGCCCGGGGCUCAACCGAGGAACUGCGUCCGAUACUGGUGGGCUUGAAUCCGGGAGAGGGAUGUGGAAUUCCAGGUGUAGCGGUGAAAUGCGUAGAUAUCUGGAGGAACACCGGUGGCGAAGGCGGCAUCCUGGACCGGUAUUGACGCUGAGGCGCGAAAGCUAGGGGAGCAAACGGG
rnacentral:rRNA from 1 species